CUGGCGGCGUGCUUAACACAUGCAAGUCGAACGGAGUGCCAAUGAAGGAGUUUUUCGGACAACGGAUUUGGCUACUUAGUGGCGGACUGGUGAGUAACGCGUGAGGAACCUGCCUUUCAGUGGGGGACAACGGUUGGAAACGACUGCUAAUACCGCAUAACGUAUUGUGGGGACAUCCCCACGGUACCAAAGAUUUAUCGCUGAGAGAUGGCCUCGCGUCUGAUUAGCUAGUUGGUGGGGUAACGGCUCACCAAGGCGACGAUCAGUAGCCGGACUGAGAGGUUGGCCGGCCACAUUGGGACUGAGAUACGGCCCAGACUCC
rnacentral:rRNA from 1 species